rnacentral:rRNA from 1 species
UCUACCUAGGGACGCAGCAGUGAGGAAUAUUGGUCAAUGGGAGAGAUCCUGAACCAGCCAAGCCGCGUGAGGGAAGACGGCCCUAUGGGUUGUAAACCUCUUUUGUCGGAGAACAAAACCCGGGACGUGUCCCGGACUGCGUGUAUCCGAAGAAAAAGCAUCGGCUAACUCCGUGCCAGCAGCCGCGGUAAUACGGAGGUGGCAAGCGUUGUCCGGAUUUAUUGGGCGUAAAGCGAGUGCAGGCGGUUCAGUAAGUCUGAUGUGAAAGCCUUCGGCU